UUAAAGCGUUAAUUACAAAAAUGACAAUUAACUGCUGAUAAUGAUGUUAGCCUUUUGACUCCUCUAAUGAACUCUAAUUUUCUAUACAGUGUGAAGAGAGCCCUUCAGUUACAAGACAAAGAAAAUGUGAGUUCAUUAAAUCAUGAACAUCUCUACCAUUUAUUUCAGAUAAGAAAUGGCUUUUUCAUUUUCUUUGAAUGUUUAUUAUUUAAGCCCAUUUUAAAGUGACAUCAGAACCAUGUCAGUAACAAUAAGUUAAAGACUUCUUUAUUAAAAGUAUAAUAACAUAAAGAAAUCCAUACCAAUGCUUCGAAUGAAUCUAUUUUAGAGCCCUGCUAAGAGGCGAGCACCAAACAGGGACUAUUCCCCUGUGACUGGAACCCAAAUGAGUCCCACGACAAAACCUGCAGCAGGUAAUUCCAGAGCAGGUGGGAAGAAAACGAAUCUCCCUCAAACAAAAGAGCCCAUGACAGAUGCUGAGAGAAUUCUGUUCCUCAGGUCUAAGGUGAAAAAAUCAUUCAAGGACCUCAUGAAAUACAGGCAACAGCUGGAAACAUUAGUGCCAGUAGAGGGCAGUAGUGAGCUGAGGAGUCUCCUGCUGAUGAGUCCUGCUGAUCUACAAACUGAACUCAAGAGACAUGAGAAUCUGUGUGAGUCCUUUCUCUUUUCUGCUGUGAUGCAUUAACUGCAUAAUGCAUGGAUAUAAAAUGAUUCACUUUCUCAAGGUCGCUUUAUAGACAUUGUUUAAACAAUUUAUUUGCUAUUAAGAGUAUUGGCUAUCAAUUCUUGCUGUGUGUGAAACAUAAAACGAAAUUAUUUACUUUCUAGGUGCUAAAAUUGCAUCUUGUGCACAUAGAGCAGACACAAACAAGGGCCAUUUCCAAGGUGAGUGAAUUUGGAAUCAAAUGAAUGUUCAGAAUUGACUUUGAGAAUUCAUUUACAAUUUAAAAGCAUGAACGAAAACACUUAUCUUAAGUGGAUAUUCAAUCUUAAGUAAUUCUGUCAGAUCAGAUAGCAAGCAGUACAAAAUUAGUUAUGUUUCAAAUCUUGAAUGUUUCCCUAUCACAACACAGUCUUUGUUACACACUGACACAGGGAUAAAUGAUGUGCCAUUUAGAAUUCCAAUUACAGUAUGAUGAUUUUGAGCCCACUGCUUUCCUUAAAAGAGAAAGAGAAAGAAAACAUUUUGUGUUCCACUUAUAUGUGAGUCAUGAUUGAUUUCAAGCACUAGCACAAGUUCUUGAUCUUGGUCACAUGGGACCCCUGAAUAGCCAUUUAUGAGAUUUCAUUUGUCAGUUCGGCGUGUUCAUAAACAUUUGUCUGGAUCUUCGCACAAAUAAAAGGUUCUCUUUUUCAUUUUCCUAACA
ensembl:lncRNA